UACGUAGGGUGCGAGCGUUAAUCGGAAUUACUGGGCGUAAAGCGUGCGCAGGCGGUUGUGCAAGACAGAUGUGAAAUCCCCGGGCUUAACCUGGGAACUGCAUUUGUGACUGCACGGCUGGAGUGCGGCAGAGGGGGAUGGAAUUCCGCGUGUAGCAGUGAAAUGCGUAGAUAUGCGGAGGAACACCGAUGGCGAAGGCAAUCCCCUGGGCCUGCACUGACGCUCAUGCACGAAAGCGUGGGGAGCAAACAGG
rnacentral:rRNA from 1 species